GGCCUCGUGGCCCAAUGGCAAGGCGUCUGACUACGAUUCGAGCAACUCUUGAGUUGUCUAGAAUGUUAUCAGGAGAUUCUGGGUUCGACCCCCAGCGAGGUCA